rnacentral:rRNA from 1 species
UGACCCGUGAUCCGGGUUGCGGACAGUGUCUGGUGGGUAGUUUGACUGGGGCGGUCUCCUCCUAAAGAGUAACGGAGGAGCACGAAGGUUGGCUAAUCCUGGUCGGACAUCAGGAGGUUAGUGCAAUGGCAUAAGCCAGCUUGACUGCGAGCGUGACGGCGCGAGCAGGUGCGAAAGCAGGUCAUAGUGAUCCGGUGGUUCUGAAUGGAAGGGCCAUCGCUCAACGGAUAAAAGGUACUCCGGGGAUAACAGGCUGAUACCGCCCAAGAGUUCAUAUCGACGGCGGUGUUUGGCACCUCGAUGUCGGCUCAUCACAUCCUGGGGCUGAAGUAGGUCCCAAGGGUAUGGCUGUUCGCCAUUUAAAGUGGUACGCGAGCUGGGUUUAGAACGUCGUGAGACAGUUCGGUCCCUA